CUACUGCAAAGGUCUGAGUGUUUUCGUCUCUCCGGGAUACGUAUGUUGAAACCUGUGAUCUCAGAAGGCAGCUCGAACAGAUGAAAAGCCAGGAGGAGGAGGGAGAAACUCCUCUGCCUUGAGGGUCUCCUCAGAACUGAAACUCUCUGAAGCCAUGAACAGAAUAAACAAUUCCAGCGAUGAGGAAAGAAAGAAACCUAAAGCCCUAACCCCUGGGAUGAUUGACAGGAGAAGGGUUUCUCUGUGUUCCUUAGCAGUCCUGGAGCUCACUCUGGAAACCAAGCUGGCCUCAUACUCACAGACAUGCUCCUGCCUCCGCCUCUCUAGUGC